ACCCGCCGAAUUUAAGCAUAUCAGUAAGCGGAGGAAAAGAAACCAAUACGGGAUUCCCUUAGUAGGGGCGACCGAACAGGGAUGAGCCCAGAGCAGAACCUCCCGGGCCACCCGGCCUGCGGCGGAAUGUUGCGUAAAGGGAAAGGUGUACUCAAACCCCACAGCCACGCGAACUCUAAGUCAACCACGAAUAGGCUAUCCCAACUAACGGCGGGAAAGACUCCACGGAGGGUGUAAGACCCGUGUGGGCGCGUGUCAAAGCUGUGCGGGCUCGGCCUCUUUUCCCUGAGAGUCGCGUUGCUUGAGCAUGCAGCGCUAAGCAGGUCGUAAACUCGAUCUAAGGCUAAAUAUCUCCACAGAACCGAUAGCGAACAAGUACCGUGAUGGAAAGUUGAAAAGAACUUUGAAGAGAGAGUUC
rnacentral:rRNA from 1 species